rnacentral:rRNA from 1 species
CGACGCUCUUCCGAUCUUCAGAACGAACGCUUGCUGCAUGCUUAAUACAUGCAAGUCGAACGAAGGCCCUAGCUUGCUAGGUGUCCUUAGUGGCGCACGGGUGAGUAACACGUGGGAACUUACCUCAGAGUACGGAAUAACUAUGGGAAACUAUAGCUAAUACCGUAUAUUCCGGAAACGGGAAAGAUUUAUCGCUCUGAGAUAGGCCCGCGCAAGAUUAGCUUGUUGGUGAGGUAAUGGCUCACCAAGGCUCCGAUCUUUAGCUGGUUUGAGAGGAUGAUCAGCCACACUGGGACUGAGACACGGCCCAGACUCCUACGGGAGGCAGCAGUAGGGAAUAUUGGACAAUGGGGGAAACCCUGAUCCAGCAAUGCAGCGUGAGUGACGAAGGCCUUAGGGUUGUAAAACUCUUUCAUCUGUGAGGAUAAUGACAGUAGCAGAAUAAGAAGGACCGGCUAAUUCCGUGCCAGCAGCCGCGGUAAUACGGAAGGUCCUAGCGUUGUUCGGAAUUACUGGGCGUAAAGAGUAUGUAGGCGGAACAGAAAGUUAGAAGUGAAAUCCCUGGGCUCAACCUAGGAAUUGCUUUUAAAACUUCUGUUCUUGAAUUCAGGAGAGGAUAGUGGAAUUUCCAGUGUAGAGGUGAAAUUCGUAGAUAUUGGAAGGAACACCAGUGGCGAAGGCGGCUAUCUGGACUGACAUUGACGCUGAGAUACGAAGGCAUGGGUAGCAAACGGGAUUAGAUACCCCGGUAGUCCAUGCAGUAAACGAUGGAUGCUAGUCGUCGGACUUUUGUUCGGUGUCGUAGCUAACGCGUUAAGCAUCCCGCCUGGGGAGUACGGUCGCAAGAUUAAAACUCAAAUAAAUUGACGGGGACCCGCACAAGUAGUGGAGCAUGUGGUUUAAUUCGACGCAACGCGAAGAACCUUACCAGCGUUUGACAUGGAAAGUACCGGUUACAGAAUGGUAACCUUCAGUUCGGAGAUCGGAAGAGCACACGUCUGAACUCCAGUCACAAGCUAAAUC